UGGGGAUAGAGGGACUUGAACCCUCACGAUUUCAAAAGUCGACGGAUUUUAAGUCCGUAGCGUC
rnacentral:tRNA from 1 species